GACGAACGCUGGCGGCGUGCUUAACACAUGCAAGUCGAACGGUAAGGCCCUUCGGGGUACACGAGUGGCGAACGGGUGAGUAACACGUGGGUGAUCUGCCCUGCACUUCGGGAUAAGCCUGGGAAACUGGGUCUAAUACCGGAUAGGACCACUGCCUGCAUGGGUGGUGGUGGAAAGCUUUUGCGGUGUGGGAUGGGCCCGCGGCCUAUCAGCUUGUUGGGGGGGUGAUGGCCUACCAAGGCGACGACGGGUAGCCGGCCUGGGAGGGUGACCGGCCACCCUGGGACUGAGAUACGGCCCAGACUCCUACGGGAGGCAGCAGGGGGGAAUAUUGCACAAUGGGCGCAAGCCUGAUGCAGCGACGCCGCGUGAGGGAUGACGGCCUUCGGGUUGUAAACCUCUUUCAGCACCGACGAAGCGCAAGUGACGGUAGGUGCAGAAGAAGGACCGGCCAACUACGUGCCAGCCGCCGCCGUAAAAC
rnacentral:rRNA from 1 species